AUCCAAUCAGGCGUGAGUCUGGACCUGCUUUUCUACUGAACUCACAAGUUCAUUACCUCACUAUCACUUUGUCUAAACAGGAACGAUGAUCACACUCUUUGUCGCGCUUUACUCUCUUUUUUCUCUCUGCACAGCUGGAAAAACUUCUGACAUCAAGGAGCUUCAUGUGAAAACAGUAAAGCGUGGAGAAAAUGUAACUAUGGAGUGUAACAUGAGCAAGGGCAAAGACAAAGAUAAGUUAGCUUGGUACAGACAGAGUUUUGGAAAAGUGCCUCAGUUUUUUGUAAGAUAUUACGGGUCUAAUAGCUACACAUUUGCUGAUGAAUUUAAAGAUAGCCGCUUCAGUAUGACUGUAAAUGACCAGAAGUUUGAUCUCAACAUUAUCGGAACGAGAGAAGAUGAUGGAGGAGAAUAUUUAUGUGGAGAAGUGGAGGGAACUGCACUAAAGUUCACAUCUGGAACACGUCUGCAAUUUGAAGGUGAAGAGAUGAAACACUGUCCUACACCUGGAACGGUUAACAACAACACAGAUUCUGUUACAGGGUCCGAUGAGGGUUCAAAGAGCAGUGAUGGAAAAGGUUCCAGUUGUACUGAUCAGAUGCAUGUGCUGGUCUGGCUCUCCAUUUUUAGAGUUGGAGUUCUUGCCUUCAUGCUUCUUAUCUUUCCAAUAAUCCUGAUUGUUUUCAAAUUAAGAUCAAAUUAGAAAUUCAGAUACAAAUGGAAGAAAUACUGAUUUAAGGAGAAAACAGUGUGUUAGAUUUAACUAGAGCUACUUGCUUAUAUUGUCCGUAUAUUGGAAUGAUUUUGGUCUAACUGUAAUGUGGAGGUAUUUACCAGCCGUACUUACAGCUGCAUUUAAGGACUCCUGAGAGGCGCAGUACAAAAUCGUUCUCCCUAUUGU